GAAGGAUCAUUAGUGAAUAUAGGACGUCCAACUUAACUUGGAGUCCGAACUCUCACUUUCUAACCCUGUGCACUUGUUUGGGAUAGUAACUCUCGCAAGAGAGCGAACUCCUAUUCACUUAUAAACACAAAGUCUAUGAAUGUAUUAAAUUUUAUAACAAAAUAAAACUUUCAACAACGGAUCUCUUGGCUCUCGCAUCGAUGAAGAACGCAGCGAAAUGCGAUAAGUAAUGUGAAUUGCAGAAUUCAGUGAAUCAUCGAAUCUUUGAACGCACCUUGCGCUCCAUGGUAUUCCGUGGAGCAUGCCUGUUUGAGUGUCAUGAAUACUUCAACCCUCCUCUUUCUUAAUGAUUGAAGAGGUGUUUGGUUUCUGAGCGCUGCUGGCCUUUACGGUCUAGCUCGUUCGUAAUGCAUUAGCAUCCGCAAUCGAACUUCGGAUUGACUUGGCGUAAUAGACUAUUCGCUGAGGAAUUCUAGUCUUCGGAUUAGAGCCGGGUUGGGUUAAAGGAAGCUUCUAAUCAGAAUGUCUACAUUUUAAGAUUAGAUCUCAAAUCAGGUAGGACUACCCGCUGAACUUAAGC
rnacentral:misc_RNA from 1 species